rnacentral:rRNA from 1 species
GACGGAAGGUGCAAGCGUUGCUCGGAAUCACUGGGCGUAAAGGGUGCGUAGGCGGCCGUGCAAGUCUGGCGUGAAAGCCCCGGGCUCAGCCCGGGAAGUGCGCUCGAAACUGCGCGGCUCGAGUGCCGGAGGGGAGAGUGGAAUUCCUGGUGUAGCGGUGAAAUGCGUAGAUAUCUGGAGGAACACCGGUGGCGAAAGCGCGAGACUGGGCCGUAACUGACGCUGAACGGCGAAAGCUAGGGGAGCAAACGGG